rnacentral:rRNA from 1 species
GCAAGUCGAACGAACGGAGAUAGCUUGCUAUCAAAGUUAGUGGCGGACGGGUGAGUAACACGUGAGCAAUCUGCCUUUAAGUGGGGAAUAACGAUUGGAAACGGUCGGUAAUACCGCAUAAUAUAGCGAAACCGCAUGAUUUUGCUAUCAAAGAUUUAUCGCUUAAAGAUGAGCUCGCGUCUGAUUAGCUGGUUGGUGAGGUAACGGCUCACCAAGGCGACGAUCAGUAGCCGGACUGAGAGGUUGAACGGCCACAUUGGGACUGAGACACGGCCCAGACUCCUACGGGCGGCAGCAGUGGGGAAUAUUGCACAAUGGGCGCAAGCCUGAUGCAGCGAUGCCGCGUGAGGGAAGAAGGUUUUCGGAUUGUAAACCUCUGUUGACAGGGACGAUAAUGACGGUACCUGUUCAGAAAGCUCCGGCUAACUACGUGCCAGCCGCUGC